AUUGAACGCUGGCGGCAGGCCUAACACAUGCAAGUCGAGCGGAGCGGCGGACGGGUGAGUAAUGCCUAGGAAUCUGCCUGGUAGUGGGGGAUAACGUCCGGAAACGGGCGCUAAUACCGCAUACUAUCAGAUGAGCCUAGGUCGGAUUAGCUAGUUGGUGGGGUAAAGGCCUACCAAGGCGACGAUCCGUAACUGGUCUGAGAGGAUGAUCAGUCACACUGGAAUGGGAACCUGGCCCAAACUCCUACGGAGGGAGGAGUGGGGAUUAUUGGAAAAGGGGCGAAAUCUGAAUGCAGCCAGGCCGCUUGGUUGAAGAGGGUCUUCGGAUUGUAAAGCACUUUAAGUUGGGAGGCGUUACCAACAGAAUAAGCACCGGCUAACUACGUGCCAGCCGCCGCGGUAAUAC
rnacentral:rRNA from 1 species